rnacentral:rRNA from 1 species
AGGACGAACGCUGGCGGCGUGCUUAACACAUGCAAGUCGAGCGGAAAGGCCCUUCGGGGUCCUCGAGCGGCGAACGGGUGAGUAACACGUGAGCAACCUGCCCUUAGCUCUGGGAUAGCUCCGGGAAACCGGAAUUAAUACCGGAUAUUACACCGGCUGGCAUCGGCUGGUGUGGAAAGAUUUAUCGGCUAAGGAUGGACUCGCGGCCUAUCAGCUUGUUGGUGGGGUAGAAGCCUACCAAGGCGACGACGGGUA